rnacentral:rRNA from 1 species
AACGAACGCUGGCGGCAGGCUUAACACAUGCAAGUCGAACGAGAUCUUCGGAUCUAGUGGCAGACGGGUGAGGAACACGUGGGAACAUCCCUUUCAGUUCGGAAUAACGUUGGGAAACUAACGCUAAUACCGGAUACGUCCUUCGGGAGAAAGAUUUAUCGCUGAAAGAUUGGCCCGCGUCUGAUUAGCUAGUUGGUGAGGUAAUGGCUCACCAAGGCUACGAUCAGUAGCUGAUCUGAGAGGAUGAUCAGCCACAUUGGGACUGAGACACGGCCCAAACCCCUACGGGGGGCAGCAUGGGGAAUAUUGGACAAUGGGCGCAAGCCUGAUCCAGCCAUGCCGCGUGAGUGAUGACGGCCUUCGGGUUGUAAAGCUCUUUUGUCCGGGAAGAUAAUGACUGUACCGGAAGAAUAAGCCCCGGCAAACUUCGUGCCAGCCGCCGCCGUAAAAC